ACGAGUGGGCGGUGCGUUUGGAUGGGCGGCCGAAGAAGUCGAAGAAACGCCGCCUCCUCUUUUUCAAGCUUCUUUUUUUUUUCUUAAAAACACUUGAACUCUGCAGCGGCAAGUGCUCUCAGUGUAAAAAGUAUCGAAGAGACGGCUAUGCACAGGCCACAGGAAUUAAGGAGGUGAAGUUUGACAUAAGGCGAUUCUUUUCAUGUUGCCACUAUGACCACCAUUUCGGCUAAUUUGGCCACAGAGAGUGCAACUACAUCACAGCCUCCAAAUGUGGACACAAUUACUGUAGCAGGUAAAUGAACCAUUUUGAAAU